AAGAAGUCAGGCCACUACAAGUGCCAUAACUUGAGCAAACUAUGCAGCCUGUAGCUCCACCUGGGAAGGUGUAAAAAAUCUGGGAGGCCACAAACCAUGGAAGCUGUACGCAUGGUGUAGUGGACUAGCGGUUAGAGGAGACCCCUCCCUUGCAAAUCGCAGCAACAAUGGGGGCCCAAGGUGAGAUGAAGCUGUAGUCUCACUGGAAGGACUAGAGG
rnacentral:lncRNA from 1 species